rnacentral:rRNA from 1 species
CGCCUACGGGAGGCAGCAGUGAGGAAUAUUGGUCAAUGGCCGGAAGGCUGAACCAGCCAAGCCGCGUGAGGGAGGAAGGCGCACAGCGUCGCAGACCUCUUUUGCCGGGGGACAAAAGGCCGGACGGGUCCGGUUCUGAGGGUACCCGGAGAAAAAGCAUCGGCUAACUCCGUGCCAGCAGCCGCGGUAAUACGGAGGAUGCGAGCGUUAUCCGGAUUUAUUGGGUUUAAAGGGUGCGUAGGCGGUCCGUUAAGUCAGCGGGAAAAUUGCGGGGCUCAAACCCGUCGAGCCGUUGAAACUGGCGG